GGCCAGACUCCUACGGGAGGCAGCAGUGGGGAAUAUUGCGCAAUGGGCGAAAGCCUGACGCAGCGACGCCGCGUGAGGGAUGAAGGUCUUCGGAUCGUAAACCUCUGUCAGCAGGGAAGAAAAUGACGGUACCUGAAGAAGAAGCCCCGGCUAACUACGUGCCAGCAGCCGCGGUAAUACGUAGGGGGCAAGCGUUAUCCGGAUUUACUGGGUGUAAAGGGGGCGCAGACGGCGAUGCAAGCCAGGAGUGAAAGCCCGGGGCCCAACCCCGGGACUGCGCUUGGAACUGCGUGGCUGGAGUGCAGGAGGGGCAGGCGGAAUUCCUGGUGUAGCGGUGAAAUGCGUAGAUAUCAGGAGGAACACCGGUGGCGAAGGCGGCCUGCUGGACUGCAACUGACGUUGAGGCCCGAAAGCGUGGGGAGCAAACAGGAUUAGAUACCCUAGUAGG
rnacentral:rRNA from 1 species